UACGUAGGGUGCGAGCGUUAAUCGGAAUUACUGGGCGUAAAGGGCGCGUAGGCGGCCUUCUAAGUCGAACGUGAAAUCCCCGGGCUCAACCCGGGAACUGCGUCCGAUACUGGAAGGCUUGAAUCCGGGAGAAGGAUGCGGAAUUCCAGGUGUAGCGGUGAAAUGCGUAGAUAUCUGGAGGAACACCGGUGGCGAAGGCGGCAUCCUGGACCGGCAUUGACGCUGAGGCGCGAAAGCCAGGGGAGCAAACGGG
rnacentral:rRNA from 1 species